ACAAAUGUGAUGACGAGGACGAGUAAAUUUUGCCCAGUUUACAGAGAGGAAGUGCCGGAAGGCUGAGAGCACUUCUAAACAUGGAAAAUUGAAAACCCCCUCUGAGCAGUGCACCGAAACUUAAAGUAAGUGCAACCGGUGAUUCCGUUAUAAUCACAAUGAGUGACAGCCGUUUUAUAUGGCUGUAAUUUGGGUGGAACCGUGAGAACUGCUCUCAUCCCAUUG
rnacentral:ncRNA from 1 species